GCUUAGAACAACUAAGGAAGUAGAGAAAAGAAAAAAGAGGAUCUGUAGAGAUUUGCAUUCUUUAGGAAGCAAUAAGAAUUUUCAUCUCUGAAAGCUCGCUUCCCAGUGGACAGGACAAGGAGGAGUUGUAUUAAAUUUACAGAUGAUAUUAAACUCCAAGAAAACACACAACUGUGUGCAGAAGAAUUAGGGAGCCAUGCUGAAAGGCUAUAAAAAAAUGCAAUGCCUGAUUCUGAGUGAUAUAGGAUACAUAGAUGUGAGCCUCAAUCAAGCAGUGUGACAUGCAUAAGUAAAACUGGAUCCUGAUAUGAAGAACUUAUCUCACAGACUACAGGAGAUACCGCAGACAAACUGAUCUUAUUAGGUGAUGACCUCCAGCUGACAAGUUCCCAUAACUACUGUGUGACGUGGUAUUUGGUAUAAUGAAGUGCAUUCUUUUUCUUAUUCUACUCCUGCUAAGGAAAAAAUCCUUUGUGUUACCACCUGCUAAUUUUUUCUUACUUAAACAAUCUAGGUCAAGAGUAAAAAUAUAAAUGUAGCUUGGGUUGUGGCACUAAAAAUGUGUGGAUCUCUGUGAGCAGGACUGAACUCUGGAAGUCCUCAAGAGAGACCUUCUGACAGCCUUCUGCAACACUUUCUUCCUUGUAAAACUAAAUGUCUUUGUUGGUAAAUUUGGGCCUAGUAAUUUACUUUCAGAAGACACUGCUUUGGUUUCCCCUCUUUGCUCAGGUCCUUGCCUACCUUAAAAGUUAUGUAUCUGUCCCAUAAUCCAUGGUUACUAACUGAUUCCUUGCCAUAUGCUAAAGCAUUAAAAACCCUUAAUGAAUUUUGAAUUAAAUUUUACCUUAAAGACACACUCACAUGCUGUAACCUGUUUCAUCAUAUUCUCUGUUCCAUAAACUUUUUUAAAAUAAUAAUAAUAAUAAUUAUUAUUAUUAUUUUAUUCUUUAAAACUUGCUUUAAACUUUACACACUAGGGAAGCUACAGCAGUAGUACUAUAGUUGCAAGUUUAUUCCAUACAAAUGGUGUGCUUUACCAAAAUGUAGGAAGGUUGCUUACUCAAAGUCCUAUAGUGCUGCUGCCCUUCUCCAUUUGGUGGCCAUUAAAAAAUUCCAGUUUAGCAAUUUGUAUGGGAUCUGCUGAUUUGUACUUUUCUCAUAUGCUUUCUGAAGGGUAGAAGUAUUGUUAUUUUUCAUUUCUUUUUAUUUUUGCCUACUUGUUUUGUGGUAGUUAUCCCUCUAAUAUUCAGCUCCUCCUUG